rnacentral:lncRNA from 1 species
GCCCGCCCGCCCGCCGUGGGCGCAAGGCGAAGCUGCCCCGUCUGCCCUCGCCCGAGCCUUCGCUUCGCUUCGCUUCCCCCAGCUCUCCUCCGUCUGUGCCUGCGAUGGCUUCAUCACGGGUCAUUUUUCUGCCUGGCUGCCGCCCUCCCCCCUCAAGCAGGGUCUGCGGUGCAGUGCUGGUCUGAGCUGCAGAACACCAAACUAAGCUGACUUUUACAUGUGCCUGUGAAUCUCUUCACCUAACCCAGUGGCCCACUAUUGACUAUGAUUACUUUCUGAAAAUCAUUAUCCUCCACUAAUGUACAUAUACAGAGAUGCAGCAUGGCAGAAUUAUCAAAAGACACUGACAACUGAUCUGCCUGCCUUCUCAUCCCAAACCUGUAUAACAUGUGUUUGACCAAGAUGGAAAAGAGAAGAUACACUACAUCCUAGGCGUGCAGAAACACAAGUUUCUGUUUUAAAAGUAAGCACUUGUAUAAGCCUUUACACUAUCAGGGACUAUUUUUUUGAAAUUUUAUGCAAUCUCUCAAAAACAGG